rnacentral:lncRNA from 1 species
ACUUCUGUGGGAAGUCUGCGCUGACCACUUUUUGACCUGGCCUGAUUUCUCUAUGAUUCAUGUGUUCUGCUCCUUGUCCAUGCUAAAAACAGUUCUACACAGCAGCUCUUCGCACUGCAGUGCCGUGGAGAGGCGCAGCCAGCUCACAUGUCC